rnacentral:lncRNA from 1 species
UAUAGUUCAUAGAGUUUAGGCUGGAGGAGCCGCUUAUAAAAAUCAGGCUUAGCUGAUAGGUCUCCAUGGUUUUUUUAUCUUCACUAGAGGGAAGAGAUCUCAGUGUUUUUCUAUGUACUAGUUGACAGAGGACAUACUACACCCCUCUUGGAUGUUUACUUUUUAACUAGUCUAAGAAUCAAACAUGCUGCUGCCUCUAUAUUCUUGAACCUAUUUGCUUUUUCGAAGCAAAAUCAUGCAAGAGAGGAAGACAUAGAUUCCCGAGAGCAGAGUUGUAUUCAUAAAAAGGGGAAGGAAAGCCUGAGAGCAUGGAGUGUUGCCCCUUAGCAAUCAUGUCGGUCAUUUGAAAGAGAGGAAUAGGAGGGCUUUGGAAGGGAUGGAACUUGAUUUCGCAAAAUUAAAGAACAAUGUUUUGUACCUAAUUUGCUUUUGGUGUACUUGUG